UCCCGAUGCAAUGACAAAAUCUGGUGAUUGUAGGGCGAGGAGCUUGCUGAUGUCUAUGGCAGUUGAUCUAGAUGGCGGCCAGGUCAAGUUUGUUCUUUUGAGAGUAAGUGUCAUAUAUUGCUUUCAUUUUCUUGUAUAUGCAUUAAUUAGAUCACAGAUGGCUCCAUUCAAACAGAAAAGACUCUUUCAUGAUCGCUCAUUCCAGUGCUCGAAGCGCUGGAUGUGUCCCUUUCCAUAUCAACAACCCUGGCCCCACAUUCUNNNNNNNNNNNNNNNNNNNNNNNNNNNNNNNNNNNNNNNNNNNNNNNNNNNNNNNNNNNNNNNNNNNNNNNNNNNNNNNNNNNNNNNNNNNNNNNNNNNNNNNNNNNNNNNNNNNNNNNNNNNNNNNNNNNNNNNNNNNNNNNNNNNNNNNNNNNNNNNNNNNNNNNNNNNNNNNNNNNNNNNNNNNNNNNNNNNNNNNNNNNNNNNNNNNNNNNNNNNNNNNNNNNNNNNNNNNNNNNNNNNNNNNNNNNNNNNNNNNNNNNNNNNNNNNNNNNNNNNNNNNNNNNNCACUUUCCUAAUUAGCUAACUGCUUCCUGUCGGAAAGAGCGCGCAUUAGCCUUGCCCCCAUUCAAACUUAAGAGCGUCACUUUUAAUGAAAGAAACAUAAAAAAUCAUUUGCUUUUGUAUCUUGAUGCACCUUAUGUUUCACUUUAUUUAAGAAAACAACAAAAAUUUGUGUUUUAUCUCUCAAAGUCAUGACUAAAGAAAAGAAAACCCCAAUAUAUAUUUUUGUCCUUUGUUGUAUGGUUCUUUUUUUAGGAUGACAUCACUUGAAUAACAUAGUUGGACAUUCUUAAUUGGUUUGAACAAAAUGAUGAGCGCAAAUAUCGAUUUGUCAGCUUCUUGCUCAACCUUUUAAAUCUCCAGUCGGAAGAACAAACCACUGCCGAGAUGGCAUGCCCCAUGGUUUGUGGAAGUAGUUGCACAACAUAGGUGAGACAAUUCGUUGAGACAUGUCCUUUUCUUCUUCUUACAUAGCAUGCAGAAUGAGUCAAAGCGGGAUGAAGAUUGUAAGCGCAUGUGCAAUGGUGCUAUCUUAGAAGUGCCAUGUAGAAUAAAUGAUGAGGUGGAGGAGAGAGAACUCAUAAGAAAAGGCUUGUCUUCUCUUAUUUAAGAUAAGACAAAAGAUGAUCUCUUAGCAUAAUUUGUCUCACCAUGUUUUAAGGAAUUUGCUAGUUAUUGAAGAUAAGGCUAAGAUAUAACCCAUUGUAGACAUUUUUUUGUCAUCUCGAUAAGACUGUCUUAUCAACCAUUGUACAUGCCCUAAGUGCCGAAACCGUCCACACAUGACGCAUUUUACCCCCAUGUCACUAGAUCUGUUGGUUGGAUCCUAAUAAGAUGGACCUCUGUUUGACAUCACCUUUCUUGUCCUUGAAGUUUUUUCCCAGUCCUCAUUGAUAUCACAGACCAUCCGCAAAAGAAUUCGUAACGCCGCCGGAACAUUUGGAAGCCUCCUUCCACUUCUGCUUCUCUCUGGUCUUUUUCCGACCACCACAGAGGACUCCAAUCCUCUCAAUCUCGACAGCACUUGCUCUUCUCACAUUGCAGCUUUCUCACACAUGUCCAUUUUCCUUCGUAUCUCUUCAUUCUUGUAGAAUGCAUCAUAACGGUGCUAGCUUUAGUGGUUGUCAUGGUCAUAUCACGACCAUGGUCCUUAGAAACUACAGUGGUGAAGGGGAGGGAGAUAGUAGGAUCACCAUUAUUUUGGGCCACUCUCAUUGUUGUAACCUGUCACCACACCAUGAUAGUAGAUGCAAGAAAACCUAAUGAUAGGCCGACCGCCCCUUUGGGAUCCACAUCCAUGUAUACCUUAGGCUAGACACCUCGCCUGCCUCUGAGCACAUCAGAGUGUUAGACAAGCCAAAAGUGGUACCAAGUCCAUCUUGAGAUGCCCCAUAGACUACAAGAUAUAGCAAUGAAGCUAGCCACGUCAUCCAACUGGACUGGCGCACCUAGAUAGGCGCCCACUUCUCACUAUGCCUAGACCAUUGGUGGAAAAUCUAUGGUUUAUGCAAUCUUUGUCGAGGAGCCACCGUCGCCACCAACAACCACCACCACCUUAAGACCAUCUCCGACUGGUGUGGAAGAACCAAAGAAGGCCUCUCAAGCAUCGCCACUAAUGCAUCUCGUUGGCUCUACCCUUUUGGGCAUGUCGCUUUGCCGCACGAGGUUGUCCUAGAUCCAAAUAGCCAUCUCGAUAGUGGAGCCAAUAACGACAGCAUAGAAAUGUUGGUGCUCGGAGCGAAGACUGAGCACCGUGUGAGCUUGAGGUUCUCCACAACUUCGCUGCUCAUUGAUGUAACAACUAGAGUCAACACCAACGGUCCCAAAACCGAGCAGAAAGGUUCUUGUGACGAUGGGAUGGAGCACGGCCGGUGAAUUGCAUAGAGGCUUCCCUAGUAGUUACAUAGUUGUAUGUACCAAAACCCAAGUAGAUAGGCACAAACAAAACAAGAUAAAUAGGGCAAGAUUGAUGAGAUACCAAUGUGGUGCCAAUUACUAAUGAUGUACACACAAGAUGUCAUCGGUUAUCAUGGUAUGGUCGCUAGCUUCCAUGUUGCUUGGUCGACCCUCUCAUCCCCUUCAUCACAUGUUCAUCUCCUAGAGAGCAUUCUUCAUGAUCGACUUAUUUGACUUGAGGGCCCCGAACUUUUUUAUGGCAUGAUGACACUCCAACUGUACCACUUCGUACUCCUUGGACCUUCGACAUGUUAUUCGUCAAUGAUCCGGUAACUAGGAGGCCGUGAAGGUCGUCAAUGUAUUUGUGCAAGAAGUCGACGUCCAUACUUAGUAGCUCAAAGUACUCUAGGGUCUUUUUCCAUGCCAUGAGAUCCUCGUGGGAAGGCGAAGAGGCGGGCAUCGCCCUAAUGCCCUCGGCGAUGUUGCUCGUCUCUAUGGUCACUCAUGUAGUGGGCGUCAGGUUUAUGUGCUUCGGCAUACAGCUGUGGAGGAGCGACUUCAGGUCGUGACAGAGCCCAUAGUAUGCCUACACCAUCGAACGAGAGUAGUUGGCGGUUGACGGGAGCGGCGUCGUUGACGAUCUUGAACUAUCGGAAAGCUUUUGCUAGUAUAAAAUCGGUGUCUAGGUCUAGAGAGUUCUAAUGGCAUCUUCUUCACUGGCUAUGUUAUUGUUAUAAUCCUCAAAUGCUUUGGGUACUGACUCGUGUGGUUACCUCUGGAUUCUCCUUGGACUUGACAUCAUAAUUCGAAUUUUUUUCUUCUACAUUGUAGAAUCAAGCACAUGAUUCAAAGAUUCAAAUUUCAUAACAACUUUGAUGCACAAAUAAAUUAGCAGGUACAAAAAUGAACGACAUAAAACUUUUAACUCACUACGUGUCCAAACUCAGGAGAACAAUACAUGUCCAAGGAAAACAGUAUAUUGAAUGAGUUGAAAGUUACGUCUUCUUCAUUUUAGAACCUACUAGUUUAUUUGUUUUCAAAAUAAGUCUUUAUGGAAUUUGAAUAUUCCGAAUCGUAUGUUCUAUUUUACAACGAGGAAGAAGAAAAGUUCUGAUGAUGUCAAGUCCAAGGAGGAUCCAAAGAUAACCUGCGUUAGUAGUGAAGGACAAUAGCAAUAACCAAGCUUGCGAAAAAAUGGCAGAAGGUCUACAUCCCUAGACAUAUAUUUCGACGUCGUCCAAAGCUUCAAAACUUCAAGAUCAUCGUCAAUGGUGCGGCUAUCAAUCGCGAACUACUCAAUGUUUACCGUGUAGGGCAUAUUACAGGUCUUGCCAAGAUCGGAAGUCGCUUCUCCAUGGGCGUAUGCCGAAGUACAUGAACCCGAUUGCUCACUGUAGGAUUGAUCACGGGGAGGGUCAACAUUGCCGAGGGCAUUAGGUCCUUCCUCACCUCUUCGUCUUCCCACGAGGACCUCGUGGAGUGGAAGAAUACCCUGGAGUUCUUUGAGCUGCUAAAGCAUGGGCUUCAGCUUCAUGCACAAGUGUGACGAUGACCUCCUUGGCCUCAUUGCCUGAUUUUCAUCGGAUUGCUUGUCGACCUAGUCCAAGGGGUACAAGGAGGUGAAGUUGGAGUGUGCUCCCUCCGUGGAGAAGCUGAGGGCACUUGUGUCAAAGAUGCCAAGCCAGAAGACUGCUCUCAAAGUGGUGGAAAUGGAGAUGUAGGGUCGAACACAAAGAAGAGGGUCGACCAAGCUAUGCGGCAAUUAGCGACUGAUGACCCCUUGUGUACAUUGUUAGUGAUCGGAACCACAAAACUAUCUCAUCGUACUUGCCCUAUCUAUCUAGCUCUAGUUGUGUCUAUCUAGUUGGUUUUUGGUACACAUGUACCACUAGAAAGGAUGUUGUGUUUUCGUGCACAUCAACUUUACCUUAGUUUGUACAGCAAUUAUGUGUGAUGAAAUGGUUAUAUGUCGUGUGGUUUCAUGGUUUGUUAUGAGCAUGUGCUAUUUGUUUAUUUUUGUAGAUGCUGUUUUGGUGCCAAACUGGACAUGCAUGUUUUGAUUGAGUUCACUGUUACGUUUCAUGAGGGAGAGGAGAUGAAGUAUAGGUAAAUAGCUUAAGAAUCAUUGAUCUACUCAGACUCAAGGAGGAAAAACAACAUCUGAACUUAACUUGAGACUGUUAAGAAACAACUCAUGGGACACGUGAUGACCAAUUUAUGGAGUCUUUUCUUGGAAGAUAAAUUUAUGGAGUCUUAAGCUGUUAUCCAAUAAAUCCAGGCAGGCAAUGUGUCUUAUUGAGAUUAUACAAUACGAGUAGAAAAUAAAGAAGGAUUGCCUAUCUACAAUAUAAUCCACCUACUGAUUCUUGCACGUAGACGACGAAAACGAUCACCAUUCUUUUGAUCAUUUAUCUGACCGUUUCUUGAACCUUUGUAUUCUUGAAUUCCAUUUUGUGUGGAAAUUUUGUUGUAUUUUUUUUCUCACGUUGGUACAAUGUCUGAGGAUUUUGUUGAAACUCCCUGGUAUGUUAAGUUUUUUAAAAGUGAGUACAAUGUAGACAGUGUGUACCAAUUUAUUUUGAGGAAAAGGAUAUGUUCAAUGCUGCAACAAAGGUUGUGGUGGGAAAUGGUGAACACUCCUACCUUUGGUGCGAUAAGUGGCUCGAUGGAGUUUCUCUGGACAUCGCACUGGAUAUCGUCGGCUGAACACCCCCUCUACUAGCGCGCAGAAAGAUGGCUGAGGCGUUGCUUGAUUCUGCUUGGUUAAAAGACAUAUGGGCCCCCCUUAACAUUGGCGUUUAUCUUCAAUUACUCGAGCUUUGGGAAAGACUUUGCUCUUCACCCAGAGCAUGAUGAUAGCUGGUCAUGGUUGUGGGAGGCUAGCAGUAGUUUCUAGGUCAAGUCCUUCUACGUGGCCCACUUUGUCACUUCUUUAGGAGCAGCUUCGAUGAGGCCAUACGGAAGGCUCCUGAGAAUCUGGACAACCGAUCAAGGUCUCCCACAUAACGAACUAUGUGCCAUGUGCAGUCUUGUGCCUGAGGACUGUAGUCUUCUCUUUCCCGAUUGUGCCGUUUAGACUGCCAGUAUAACUUUGAAACACCAUCCUCCAAUAGUCUAACUUGCAGAUAGUCGUCCCGAUCAUGGAUCAGGACCUCAUGUUCUGGGGGAUCACUGCUAGGGAAGCUUACCACGGUAAGGACCGGAAGAGGCUCGUUUGUCUCUGUAUGUUGCGGUCUGGACCAUAUGGAGAGAAAGGAAUGCUCUUGUUUUUGACAUCAAGGUUAGUCCCAUCGUUCAGGUCGUGAAUCAGCUUACCGCAGAUGCAGAGUUGUGGCUAGGAAAGAUUUAGGUUCUUUUCUUUAUUUCCCUUCAUCUGGCCUUUAUCUGUUCUAUGUCUUUAUGGUGUGGUCAUUGGCCGUGUUCUUGUUGUUCUUUAUUUGACUUUGAUCCGUUUUAUUCUGCUACAAAUUUAACAUAUAGUUCUCUUGCAUGGUUGAAAAAAAUUAAAGCCUGUGCCAGGCUCGUGUAAUCUUGUUUCCUUGCCUUUUCAUUGCGGGAUAUUUUUGUAAUCUAGAUACUACUGUUGCUGCUACUUUAUUGCUAGAUCACUAGUUGAGAUUUAGUAGAGUAACAAAAUUAUUGAUCUACUAGUUCAUGUUUAGGCGCAUAACAAUGAGUAAUCUGCCAUGGUUGCUUAACUAAUUUCCAGAGGAAGGGAGAGACGGCAGCAGGUGAUCCCUAGUCUGUCAAGACCAACAACGGGCAGAAAGUGGCAUUGUUGCAUCAAAUGUCGUAACAACUACUCCCUUCGUUCCAAAUUACUUGUCUUCGAUUUGUCUAGAUACGGAUGUAUCUAGCACUAAAAUGAGUCUAGAUACAUCCGUAUCUAGACAAAUCUAAGACAAGUAAUUCAGAACGGAGGGAGUACAACCAUAGUAGCAGACAUGUACAUGAUGACGAUUUUGAGCAGAUAGUGAGAGCCUUCAUGUGACCAUCAAAUGAUCUUACAUUACUGCAAUUUCAGCACAUCUUCUUUUCCAAGCUUCAGAGUACCAAGUGCAUGCACGUUUCCAUAUAUUAACUAUUAAAAAAAGGAAACCACUUAUUGUUUAGUUUGUAGGUUGGUUGGUCGUUCGAUAGAUCGAACUGUGAGGAAAAGGCUGUUAUGAUGCCACUUCAUUAAUUUUUUCUGUCAGCCUUUUUUUUUCUUGUGUUUCCAUAUCUUCAGUCUUACUACCUAGCGGAACAGCCCGACAAACCAAAAAAUUAUUUGCGUAUGUUUUCUCUUCCUGUGCUAAAUAUUACUGCAGUGACUAGUAUAAGUACACAAUGAUGUUCCUUUUUGGUCUUUUACUAAACUACAACUUCUCUGGCACAAAAAAGAUUUUUUUUCAAAGCUAUGACGUAUUUUAUAGCAAAUUCGAAAACUAUAGCAAAGAGUGAAGAAAAAUCAAAACUAGCACCCCGUCGGCCACGCGUGGACCGAAAAGGGUGUUUUCGGCCUCCCUUUGGCCGAAAUGGACUUUUCGGCCUUGCCUUUGCCGAAAAGGUGCGUACUUGGGCCGAAAAGUCCUUUUUGGUCAGGAGUAGGCCGAAGAGUCCUUUUUGGCCAGGAGUAGGCCAAAAAGUCCUUUUUGGCCAGGAGUAGGCCAAAAAGUCCCUUGGGCCCACCUUUUCACGUUAAUGGUUGACCGAAGUUGCAUGGCUCCACUCUUCGGCUUACGUUAGGCCGAAGCGAUUUUUUUUUAAUUUUGGUAUAUAAAUACUGUGUAACCAUUGUCCAUCUUAGACACUGAAAAUAUAUAUUUUCGCGCAACCCUUUACCCUCAAUAUUUUUCCAUCAACUCUUUUCCGCCAUCCGUUUCCCGCCAACCCCUUCCUGUCAUAUGUUCCUGCCACCCGUUUCCCGCCAACCCUUUCCCGCCAUACCACAAUAUACCAUUAAAUAAAUUCUUCAUAUUAAAAAAAAAAAGGAUAAAAGCGCAAGCGAUGGAGUCAAAAACCUGACCUCACGCUGGAUAUAUGUGUUACCAGCCAAAUAGGAUAGCAUCUGGCUAAUGUACAACAACUGAUCCCUUUCUUUAUAAAAAGUCAACAUUUUCGAAAAAAGUGAACAAUUUUACUUUAGCAAUUUAAAAAAUUAUUUAAAAUAAAAAUUUCCGAAAUACGAACAAACUUUUAAAACGUGAAAAUGUAUUGAACACAUGAACAAAAUUUUAUAAUUCCAAACAUUUAUUGAUUUUUUAAGUGAUGAACAAUUUAUAAAUAUACACUCAGCAUUUUUGUAGUAUAAGCUGAAAAUUUUCUGAAGACACAUUGAAUAUUUUUGUGAUAUACGGUUAAUGUUUUUCUGAAUUGUGAAGACAUUUAGAAAAAGUGAAAAGAUUUUGAGAAACAUGAUUUUUUUAAAUAUGAAGAAUUUAUUUAAUGGUAUAAUGUGGUAUGGCGGGAAAGGGUUGACGGGAGCAUAUGGCGAGAAAGGGUUAAAACAGGUGGCAGGAACAUAUGACGGGAAGGGGUUGGCGGGAAACGGGUGGCGGGAAAGAGUUGGCAGGAAAAUAUUAAGGGAAAAGGGUUGCGCGAAAAUAUAUUUUUUCAAUGUCUAAAAUGGGCAAUGGUUGCAUAGUAUUUAUAUACCAGAAUUUUAAAAAAAAUCGCCUCGGCCUAACGUGGAGCCAUGCUACUUCGGUCAACUAUUAACGUGAAAAGGUGGGCCCAAGGGACUUUUCGACCUACACCUGACCAAAAAGGACUUUUCGGCCUACUCCUGACCAAAAAGGUCUUUUCGGCCCCUUUUCGGCCAAGGCAAGGCCGAAAAGUCCAUUUCGGUCAAAGGGAGGCCGAAAACACCCUUUUCGGCUCAUGCGUGGCCGACGGGGUGCUAGUUUUGAUUUUUCUCCACUCUUUGCUAUAGUUUUCAAAUUUGCUAUAAAUGCGUCAUAAUUUAGAAAAAAAAUCCAUAAAAAAUUGGUGAUUGUAGGACUAGGAACUUGCUACUGGUGUUGCUCAGCAUUCUAUGGCAACGAGUUUGUUCCAGAUGGCGGCAAGGUUGCCUUUGUUCCUUUUUUGAAAGUAAGGGUUUUGUUGCUUUAGUUCUCUUGUAUAUGUGCAUUAAUUGGACCGUAAAUAGCUCCAUGGAGAUAAUUACCUUUUAAUGAUAG
rnacentral:lncRNA from 1 species